rnacentral:rRNA from 1 species
AACAGGAUUAGAUACCCUGGUAGUCCACGCCGUAAACGAUGUCGACUUGGAGGUUGUGCCCUUGAGGCGUGGCUUCCGGAGCUAACGCGUUAAGUCGACCGCCUGGGGAGUACGGCCGCAAGGUUAAAACUCAAAUGAAUUGACGGGGGCCCGCACAAGCGGUGGAGCAUGUGGUUUAAUUCGAUGCAACGCGAAGAACCUUACCUACUCUUGACAUCCAGAGAACUUUCCAGAGAUGGAUUGGUGCCUUCGGGAACUCUGAGACAGGUGCUGCAUGGCUGUCGUCAGCUCGUGUUGUGAAAUGUUGGGUUAAGUCCCGCAACGAGCGCAACCCUUAUCCUUUGUUGCCAGCGGUCCGGCCGGGAACUCAAAGGAGACUGCCAGUGAUAAACUGGAGGAAGGUGGGGAUGACGUCAAGUCAUCAUGGCCCUUACGAGUAGGGCUACACACGUGCUACAAUGGCGCAUACAAAGAGAAGCGACCUCGCGAGAGCAAGCGGACCUCAUAAAGUGCGUCGUAGUCCGGAUUGGAGUCUGCAACUCGACUCCAUGAAGUCGGAAUCGCUAGUAAUCGUGGAUCAGAAUGCCACGGUGAAUACGUUCCCGGGCCUUGUACACACCGCCCGUCACACCAUGGGAGUGGGUUGCAAAAGAAGUAGGUAGCUUAACCUUCGGGAGGGCGCUUACCACUUUGUGAUUCAUGACUGGGGUGAAGUCGUAACAAGGUAACC